rnacentral:rRNA from 1 species
CAGCAGCCGCGGGAAUACGGAGGGUGCAAGCGUUAAUCGGAAUUACUGGGCGUAAAGCGCACGCAGGCGGUUUGUUAAGUCAGAUGUGAAAUCCCCGAGCUUAACUUGGGAACUGCAUUUGAAACUGGCAAGCUAGAGUCUUGUAGAGGGGGGUAGAAUUCCAGGUGUAGCGGUGAAAUGCGUAGAGAUCUGGAGGAAUACCGGUGGCGAAGGCGGCCCCCUGGACAAAGACUGACGCUCAGGUGCGAAAGCGUGGGGAGCAACCAGGAUUAGAUACCCCGGUAGUCCCUGUCUCUUAUAC